rnacentral:rRNA from 1 species
UACGGGGGGGGCAAGCGUUGUUCGGAAUUACUGGGCGUAAAGGGCUCGUAGGCGGCCAACUAAGUCAGACGUGAAAUCCCCAGGCUCAACCUGGGAACUGCGUCUGAUACUGGAUGGCUUGAAUUCGGGAGAGGGAUGCAGAAUUCCAGGUGUAGCGGUGAAAUGCGUAGAUAUGACAUAGAACACCCAUUGCGAAGGCAGCUUACUACACGAUCAUUGACGCUGAGGCACGAAAGCGUGGGGAGCAAACAGG